GCCAGGCGCGGUGGCUCACGCCUGUAAUCCCAGCCUUUGGGAGGCCGAGGCGGGUGGAUCACCUGAGAUCAGGAGUUCAAGACCAGCCUGAUCAACAUGGAGAAACCUCGUCUCUA
ensembl:misc_RNA Metazoa_SRP Metazoan signal recognition particle RNA